GAAGUUUUCAAUUUAGAAAUGUGGGGAUUUCUUUAGAAGCACUGGAUGAGACGCACGACCAUUACGCGCAAAGCUCUUUUGGUCACUCGCUCGAUAAUAAAUCAGAAAUCCAUCGUAAGACGAAACUGUCGCUUUUUCGUUUUCGAAAAGGAUUAUACUGGCUCAGAAAAACACAGACGAGAGGAAUGGACUUGGUUAAUUGUAUUGAAACGAACGGAGCAGCUUUUACAUAGGACCAAUUGUUUGCUGAGACAGGAGAGACGGUGUCUGGAUGAGCUGUGAGCAGGAGCGGCACGUUUCCCGUCUGUUCGAGGACAACAAGAGACAUCUGGGAAGCAAGCAGGCCAAACCUGCGGCCACUGAAGAAUUGUUUAGAAAAAAAAGGAAUCAGUUCCUGAGAUUGCUUUCCCUGUGUUGUGGAAUUAUUUUAAAUUUUUUUAAGUGUGAUGCAAAUGUUUAACCAGACAAAUAAAUAAAUAAAUAAUUGAAUAAUCACCAAAUGAUCUGUUUUUGUUUUUCAGUGAUUGGAAAUGUCUUUAAUGUGAAACGUAUUUCAUUGCAAUAACACGUUUAUUAUAUAUGUAUUACACAUUUUGCAUCAGCUAGGUCAUGCAGUUUCAAUUUGUAUUUGGUGAAAUGAUUGAAAGUGUUUAUAAACGUGUUUAUUGCACGUUGCUUCCGUCGUUAACGUUGCAUUAUAUCAUAUAUCACUGCAUAUUCUGCCUGUGGGGGGAAAAGAAAAAAAAUAUAUAGUGGUACAUUCAAGCCGUGCAGUCCUUCUGGUCUGGAAAAGACAUUUGGCUUCGAGCCGUGUGUGUAUGUGAUUGUGUGUGUGUCCUGGAAACAAAGACAGGCUUUUCACAUUAUAGUUUUAUUUAUUGAACCCCCAGGAUUCAUGAGAAGAUUCGACAGCUAAAGGGUCGACAUGUGCAGAAAUGUCGUGACAACUGCAAAAAUAAAAUAAAAAUAUCAGUGAUAUGGUCAUUCUAGGCCCAUUUUGUCUCAGAAAAGAAAAAAGAAGACAAAACUAUGAAAAACGGGGAUCAUAGAAAAGGAAUAAAAGAACACUACCAGGAUAGACAACCCACCUUUUAAGACACAAUCUGUCAGUUCUCUUCCUCUCUGAUUCAAAUGUCCUUGCUCGAUGCUGUGUAGGUAAAGGCAACGAUGUAUAUGAGCGAAAGGAUUUGAAGCAAAUAGUAUGCUUUUAAAUUGAUGUUAAGUUAAAAAAAAGGAAAAAAAAGAAGAUAAUGCAGGAAAAUGAAUUGGGGAUUGCAAGUGGCUGAUGAAAGAGACUCUCUAGAAAGUAAACCAUGAAAUCUUAAUUAAUAUCAAGUGUUGUUCUCUGCAAAAAAGACUAGCCUAUAAUAACACACACAUAUCCCAUCCACAUCUAAAACAACAGACUAUUGGCAGUGAAGAUAAGUAGAUGAAACAGACUCUAGCUCUAGUGUGUUCAUGACUUUACUUCCCUGAACUUCUCCUCCAUACUUCAUUCAUAGCCUCCUCUGUCACCGGUGGUGUCAUGAGGUUUGAUGUAUAGGUGUCAUGAGAGGUCACGCCGCAUACAUCCAGCAACUUUCUGUUUUCCUGCAGCACGGCUCCUCAAAUGACUGUUUGCAUGGAAGAUAUCCAUCCAAACGUGCAUUGGGAUCAGACAGGAAUGCCUUUUACGCACAACACAGUUCCCUAGCGAGGGGAGAGACUUUACUGCAGGCUUGUGUCAAAUAUCAUGUUUUUGAAAAAUGGGAACAUCAGUUGUCCGCAAUAUCUUUACAUUUUUCCCCAAAAAAGGUAUGAGAGACUUAACGAGCUACAUGUGGGUGACCUUUGGGGGUGAGAGUGGUGGAGGCAGAGAGGGUGGGGGAUGGGGUGAGGGGGUGUUGAGAGCUAACUAGGAGGUUUGUUGGGGUAUCUCUCACUUUUUUAAGACCUCAAGUUCAUCGUGCAGUUGGGGUCCAGUAAGGCCCAAUCCAGCUCCUGGAAAAAAGGGAAGUGAUGACAUGCCUCUGAAAAUGUGUGUGUGUGUGUGUGUGUGUGUGUGUGUGUGUGUGUGUGUUUGUCACGUGUGUCAUGCCACCUCAGUCACGACCUGCAAAACAUUUCGUGAAUGCAUGCCUAUAUCGCUAUUUUGUAUCAAUUUAUUAUUGAUUAUCACAGCUUAGAAUAUUCCUCUAAACUAUUCAAAAGCACUAUGCACAGCCAUAAACUAUUGUGGUUUUGUCUCAGAAUCUGUAAUAAAAAGUAAAGGAGCCCCUGGCCAAACAGAGUCCCUCUUUAAUUAAAUAAAGAUUUUUAAAGAGCUAUUUGUGCCUUAGAUGCCGAUAAAAUGAAACAGAACACGCAGCAGGACUGGAUGAUUUACGACCAAAACGACACAACUUGUGCAACCCUGGAAUACACGGGGAGUGGUCUCGGUGUGCCCUGAACGCAUCAUCCAGUUUGAAUAUUGUUCUUCAGAUGAGCCGCUGCCUCCACCUGCUGGCGGUGGGAGCUCAGUAGCACUCGGAUGAGAACAGAGCACUGACACCAUCAUCAGGACACAUGGUGUUGGUUAAUUUAAUUCAAAGUUUUGGGCUUUUUCUUUAGUUUAGUGUAUUUUUAUUUUUAAUUGUGUUCAUUAAAUAAAGUGAUUUAUCUUGAGGAACUGGUUUCAGCGUGUGAAACAUGUUCAGUCAGUGUGUGUGUGUGUGUGUGUGUGUGUGUGUGUGUGUGUGUGUGUGUGUGUGUGUGUGUGUGUGAGUGUGUGAGUGUGUGUGUGUGUGUGUGUGUGUGUGUGUGUGUGUGUGUGUGUGUGUGUGUGUGUGUGUGUGUGUGUA